rnacentral:misc_RNA from 1 species
CAAAUCUCUGUCUGCUGGGAGGGUUGUUGGUUGGUUGGUUGGGGGAGGAGGAGGUCUCUCUGGGGGCCGCCGCCGCUGCCGCUGCCGCCGCCUGACUCGCAGACACAUAUGCACAGGGCCGCAAGGCUCUGAUGUUUACGCUUGCUUGUUUGACAGAUUUAUUAUGUGACAAAACUUGA